rnacentral:rRNA from 1 species
AUGAACGCUAGCUACAGGCUUAACACAUGCAAGUCGAGGGGCAGCAUUUUAGUUUGCUUGCAAACUAAAGAUGGCGACCGGCGCACGGGUGAGUAACACGUAUCCAACCUGCCGAUAACUCGGGGAUAGCCUUUCGAAAGAAAGAUUAAUAUCCGAUAGUAUAUUAAAACCGCAUGGUUUUACUAUUAAAGAAUUUCGGUUAUCGAUGGGGAUGCGUUCCAUUAGUUUGUUGGCGGGGUAACGGCCCACCAAGACUACGAUGGAUAGGGGUUCUGAGAGGAAGGUCCCCCACAUUGGAACUGAGACACGGUCCAAACUCCUACGGGAGGCAGCAGUGAGGAAUAUUGGUCAAUGGACGAGAGUCUGAACCAGCCAAGUAGCGUGAAGGAUGACUGCCCUAUGGGUUGUAAACUUCUUUUAUAUGGGAAUAAAGUAUUCCACGUGUGGGAUUUUGUAUGUACCAUAUGAAUAAGGAUCGGCUAACUCCGUGCCAGCAGCCGCGGUAAUACGGAGGAUCCGAGCGUUAUCCGGAUUUAUUGGGUUUAAAGGGAGCGUAGGUGGAUUGUUAAGUCAGUUGUGAAAGUUUGCGGCUCAACCGUAAAAUUGCAGUUGAAACUGGCAGUCUUGAGUACAGUAGAGGUGGGCGGAAUUCGUGGUGUAGCGGUGAAAUGCUUAGAUAUCACGAAGAACUCCGAUUGCGAAGGCAGCUCACUAGACUGCAACUGACACUGAUGCUCGAAAGUGUGGGUAUCAAACAGGAUUAGAUACCCUGGUAGUCCACACAGUAAACGAUGAAUACUCGCGGUUUGCGAUAUACAGUAAGCGGCAAAGCGAAAGCGUCAAGUGUUCCACCUGGGGAGUACGCCGGCAACGGUGAAACUCAAAGGAAUUGACGGGGGCCCGCACAAGCGGAGGAACAUGUGGUUUAAUUCGAUGAUACGCGAGGAACCUUACCCGGGCUUAAAUUGCAUUUGAAUAAUCUGGAAACAGGUUAGCCGCAAGGCAAAUGUGAAGGUGCUGCAUGGUUGUCGUCAGCUCGUGCCGUGAGGUGUCGGCUUAAGUGCCAUAACGAGCGCAACCCUUAUCUUUAGUUACUAACAGGUCAUGCUGAGGACUCUAGAGAGACUGCCGUCGUAAGAUGUGAGGAAGGUGGGGAUGACGUCAAAUCAGCACGGCCCUUACGUCCGGGGCUACACACGUGUUACAAUGGGGGGUACAGAAGGCAGCUACCUGGCGACAGGAUGCUAAUCCCAAAAACCUCUCUCAGUUCGGAUCGAAGUCUGCAACCCGACUUCGUGAAGCUGGAUUCGCUAGUAAUCGCGCAUCAGCCAUGGCGCGGUGAAUACGUUCCCGGGCCUUGUACACACCGCCCGUCAAGCCAUGAAAGCCGGGGGUACCUGAAGUACGUAACCGCAAGGAGCGUCCUAGGGUAAAACUGGUAAUUGGGGCU